AGCCCCAAACGUACCAGCCUGAGGAGGCGCCGCACCUACUUCCCGAUAUAACCAACUCCGGAGUGGGGGCGCGGAACUGCGAGGAGGCGGCAGCCAAAGUGCCAUUAAAGCUCGGGGCGGAAAGGAUGAGUUACCUGGGUCCCCUCUUCAGGGAGAAGCAGGGCAAGCUGGAGGAUUUCCUCUGAAUGAUUAAAAACUCCGCAAUUCUCUCCUGCCACAGGCUGAGUGGACUCAAGGAACUGCUCUAUCUGAACUGUGUUGACGGGCAGGAGGAUGGCAGACAGGAAUUGAGAGUCACAGAGGAAGGACAGGGGAGUCCGGCAUCUCAUUGAUAUUCUGCAUGAUCAGAUGUCUCCUACAUAUGAGAACUUCAAUACAUGUUUAAAAGUUAAGACAACUAUCUUGAUCUAACUUCAUAUUAACUACCUUUCUAAAGGGUGAAAACUUACAUGAAACACUUAAAAAAAAACACCUGAAGAUAAAGAAUACAAAGUGAAAGAACAGAGACAAACUAAUAACAAUUUUCUUCAAGUCCCAAUGUAUAUAAUUCCCAUAUAUACAGGUCUCUGUGUAUCCAUAUCAUCAAUCAUUUAAAUAAAACUGGUAAAGACUGAAAAUCAAAGAUUUUAUAUUUUCAUCUUGUCACAACCCUAUAUGUCUUUGAUGCUAUUUCUAGUUUCCUAUUUUAAAAAGGAAAUAAUAAAAUCUUGCUUGUUCUAUUACUUAUUUUAUUUCCAAAGAGUGGGUGAUGCUGUGAAUCUAGUUCAUGGUGUAUUAUGAGAUGAAUUAGUUUCUUUGAUAACUACUUUUUGUUGUAUAGCAAACAGCCAUUAAUUUAAAACUUGUAAAUUGGAAAUCUGGGACCAUUGCAGUAGCAUUAGGAGAAACACAUUCUUUCAGCAUGUGAUUACUUCCAUAAUUCUUGAGUAUGGAGAAUUACUGCCAAACAGAAUAGUCAACUUUCCCCGAUAAGAUGUAUUGACUGACACUUUAGUAGAAAAAAGGUAGAAAAUGAAAACAUUAUGUAUUUCAGAGAAUGCAUUUCAGAGAAUAAUAAUAUGCAUUUCAGAGAAUAUAAUUAGAAACACAAACUAAAGCAAUUGUGGUUUUUGUUUUUAUUUUUAAGAAAGUAAAGAAGAAAGUUGAGAAAUAAAAUAUUUUUAUCAUUUGAAAUAUAUGAUCUUUUGUGUUAUAAUUUGGUGGGGGAUGUUCUAUUCUUUAUUUAGAUUAACUCAACUAUUGGUAUUUGUCAUAAAAUAGUUCUCAUAUCAGAAUUAAUGUUUCAAAUAGAAAAAAAAUAGAGCAUUGGAAAGCCAUACAUUAAAGACAUAAAUAUUUAUUUUUAGUAUUUUUAUUAUUUUUUAAGUUUAUUUAUUUUGAGAGAGAGAGAGAGAGAGAGAGAGAGAGAGAGAGUGUGUGUGUGUGUGUGUGUGUGUGUGUGCGCGCGCAGGGGAGGGGCAGAGAAAAGGAGAGACAGAAUCCCAAGCAGGCUCCUGUAAGCUGUCAGCACAAAGCCUGACAUGGGGCUUGAACCCACGAACCACAAGAUCAUGACCUGAGCUGAGCUGAGAUCAAGAGUCGGACGCUUAACCCACUGAGCCACACAGGUGCCCCUAAAGAUUUACUUUUUAUUUUUAAAUGGAAAAAAUAAACCCAAAUGUGUGUAUGUAUAUAUAUAUUUCUUAACUAUAUAUGUUUUUUUCUUAAUAUAU